CGAGAACUCUGUCUGAGGUUUAUGGUAGUGAGUUUAUUUUGAGAUUUGUUAAAAACAAAUUUAGAUCGAACAGCUCUAUUUUACAACUACUGAAGGAAUGAUGACUUUAAAACCUUUUUAAAAAGUUGAACUGAACUCUUGGUUACUCAAAGCAGGAAACCAUCAUAAUGUACACCAUGGUAACUCCAUGAUAAACACCAGUGUGACAAAAUACAAACGCCUUAAUUUAGCUUCUUUGGCCCUUGGGGUUUGAGCUCUGCAUCCCUCUCCGGGACUCCCCACCAUAACCUCUCAUGCUCAACACGCUCGCCCCUUUCGAUUUCUUCACUGUUGCCCAGAUACUUUCCAUUGCAGGCCAGUGUUACUUCUGGAUCCCAGAAAGCUGUGGGAUAUCCAUCUCCUGCCCUGCAGGGUCGGUACGUGUCUGUGGUCAGGACAGCAGCUGUGCGUAUGCGGCCGCGGCGAGCAUGGCCUAAGAGUUCCUGGCCCAACAGUGCAGCAGAAACCUAUUCGAAUGGUUCAGCAUUUCAUUGGAAAAGUGAACAGACACUUUAAAUUGCAUACUUGUAGAGCUCCUGAAAGAAGCCUUUCAGAAAUCCAUCAUAGUCUUCUUCCCUUCGAGUGA
rnacentral:lncRNA from 1 species